rnacentral:rRNA from 1 species
AAUAUUGGACAAUGGGCGAAAGCCUGAUCCAGCCAUGCCGCGUGAGUGAUGAAGGCCCUAGGGUUGUAAAGCUCUUUCAACGGUGAAGAUAAUGACGGUAACCGUAGAAGAAGCCCCGGCUAACUUCGUGCCAGCAGCCGCGGUAAUACGAAGGGGGCUAGCGUUGUUCGGAAUUACUGGGCGUAAAGCGCACGUAGGCGGACAAUUUAAGUCAGGGGUGAAAUCCCGGGGCUCAACCCCGGAACUGCCUUUGAUACUGGGUGUCUCGAGUCCGGAAGAGGUGAGUGGAAUUCCGAGUGUAGAGGUGAAAUUCGUAGAUAUUCGGAGGAACACCAGUGGCGAAGGCGGCUCACUGGUCCGGUACUGACGCUGAGGUGCGAAAGCGUGGGGAGCAAACAGG